GAUGAACGCUGGCGGCGUGCUUAACACAUGCAAGUCGAACGGAAAGGCUCCUGCUUGCAGGGGUACUCGAGUGGCGAACGGGUGAGUAACACGUGGGUGAUCUGCCCUGCACUUCGGGAUAAGCCUGGGAAACUGGGUCUAAUACCGGAUAGGAAGCUGGCUUGGAUGCCAUUGUGGAAAGUUUGUCGGUGUGGGAUGAGCUCGCGGCCUAUCAGCUUGUUGGUGGGGUAAUGGCUUACCAAGGCGUCGACGGGUAGCCGGCCUGAGGGGGUGUACGGCCACAUUGGGCCGGAGAUGCGGCCCAGAGCCGUAGGGGCGGCAGCAGACGGGAAGAUUGCACAACGGCAGCAGGCCCGAUGCAGCGAUGCCGCGUGGGGGAAGACGGCUGCCGGGUUGGAACCGCCUUUCGCGCGGGACGAAGCGCAAGUGAGGGUAUCUGGAGAAGAAGCACCGGCUAACUACGUG
rnacentral:rRNA from 1 species